rnacentral:lncRNA from 1 species
UCAUUGGCUUUUGCAUGUGUAAUAUAUUCCUUCUCCUUUUUCAGCCCAAAUGCAGUCCCAAGGUUUGAAUAAUUUCCACCAAUUAGCAGCCCUUUUUGUGGUUUUUGUCCUUUAAUCCACACUCCGAAAGGUAGCCUCAAUUGUGUAUCUCUUUUCCCAAUGUUGGCGUGUGGAAUAUAUGCAAUGGCAGCCCUUUUAUUUCUAUAAUUUUCCCCAGAUUUUCAGCUACGUUCUCCCCCCUUCCGGCUGCCAAUUUGUGUGUUCUUUAUAUAUCAAAAUCAGCCCAAG